AUUGAACGCUAGCGGCAGGCCUAACACAUGCAAGUCGAGCGGAUGAAGGGAGCUUGCUCCUGGAUUCAGCGGCGGACGGGUGAGUAAUGCCUAGGAAUCUGCCUGGUAGUGGGGGAUAACGUCCGGAAACGGGCGCUAAUACCGCAUACGUCCUGAGGGAGAAAGUGGGGGAUCUUCGGACCUCACGCUAUCGGAUGAGCCUAGGUCGGAUUAGCUAGUUGGUGGGGUAAAGGCCUACCAAGGCGACGAUCCGUAACUGGUCUGAGAGGAUGAUCAGUCACACUGGAACUGAGACACGGUCCAGACUCCUACGGGAGGCAGCAGUGGGGAAUAUUGGACAAUGGGCGAAAGCCUGAUCCAGCCAUGCCGCGUGUGUGAAGAAGGUCUUCGGAUUGUAAAGCACUUUAAGUUGGGAGGAAGGGCAGUAAGUUAAUACCUUGCUGUUUUGACGUUACCAACAGAAUAAGCACCGGCUAACUUCGUG
rnacentral:rRNA from 1 species